rnacentral:rRNA from 1 species
AUAAACGACUCUCGGCAACGGAUAUCUCGGCUCACGCAUCGAUGAAGAACGUAGCAAAAUGCGAUACUUGGUGUGAAUUGCACAAUCCCGUGAACCAUUUUGUUUUUGAACUCAAGUUGCGCCCGAAGCCAUUCAGCCGAGGGCACGUCUGCCUGGGCGUCACG